UACGUAGGGGGCUAGCGUUGUCCGGAAUCAUUGGGCGUAAAGCGCGCGUAGGCGGCCCGGUAAGUCCGCUGUAAAAGUCAAAGGCUCAACCUUUGAAUGUCAGUGGAUACUGCCGGGCUAGAGUCCGGAAGAGGAGAGUGGAAUUCCUGGUGUAGCGGUGGAAUGCGUAGAGAUCCGGAAGAACACCGGUGGCGAAGGCGGCCUGCUGGGCAGUUUAGCUGACACUGAGGCGCGACAGCGUGGGGAGCAAACAGG
rnacentral:rRNA from 1 species